rnacentral:lncRNA from 13 species
CGGCCCCCCAGCCCCUCCCCGCACCGCCCCGCACCGCACCGCUCCGCACCGCUCCGCCCCCGGCAGGGCCCCGCACGUCUUCUCUCGCGACCGGGGCUCAGGGCUAAGAGUUACGAACGUUCGUGAGCGAGGCCAGAGGAGGCCACAAGGGCGAUCCGAGGGUUGGAGCACCUGCCCUGUGAGCAAAAGCAGAGAACACCAUGAUGGACCCUUGUGUAAUGCUGGCAGUGACUUUCCAGGAGCAGCUUCCACACGACAAAGGAAUUCUUCCUCAGACAUUUAUCAUCAAUUUUGCUGUGGGACAAGGUUCUGGUAGCAGGAGCGAGGGACUACAGGAGUGGCUUCUGUGAGAAACUGCAAGAAGAUUCCCCCAUGACAGAGAGAUCCAAUCCCAGCGGGCUCCAGGAUGGAUCCACUGCUGGCCACAGCCAAAUCAAGAAGGAAAAGGAAGCUGUUGCACAGAUGUUAAUGCACUCA